rnacentral:lncRNA from 1 species
AAAAGCAUCAGGUUUUCCUAAAUGUAUAUGCCUAUCAUAGCAACUGUAAUUUAUUUGGUUUUUCUAAGUUCCAGCCAUUAUUCGAAUCACUUGGAUUAUCACUAGCAAGUCUUAUGAAAACUGUAUGCCAUCCCCAUUUUACAGAUGAAGAUACUGAUGCUGGGAGAAGAUAAGUAAUAUGCCCAGAGUGCACAGGACGGAGCAGGCCUGGAGUCUAUGGUCCGUGUGGGCACUGGUCCUACUGUGGGAUACCAAGCUUGGCUGCAUGCGUCAGGGCAGCUCCUCAAAACCUGGAAACACUGAAGACGCAGCUGGAACUUUACCACAGUGCCCACAGAUAGAUACCACAGUAAACGCUCUUGGAAAAUGUCUCUAGUGGUGAGGAAAGAUGCUCCUUCUGCGCAGCUGUUGCUACCCAACAUGUAGCCACGUGGGUGAGACUAAGCCGGUGAGGAGUGAAUACCUCUUCCUCGUAUGCAGGGACCAGGGACACCUGCGCCACAAGAUUUAACAAGCUGUCCAUACAGGAGGCUCAUACUUCCUUAUCACUUCAUAAAAUAAAUAUUGAUUCAUAAAUCAAAUAUUGAUCUGUAGAUACUUGGACCCAGGUUGAAAGAGGCAUAAAUUUUGCAUUACAUGUGACCAACCCCCAACCCCUACCCCCGGCACAGCAGCUCAGCUUAGAUUUAAAUAAAGGAUUCAGAAGCCUCUAAUUCCAUUCUAGGUUAUGGCACUAGCAUUUAGUAAUGAUAUGGCAACAGUUUGAUUUUUACAC